AGACUCUUCAAUCAAGUUCAAAUAUUAGAAGCUUGAAGAAAACAGCACCUGAAAAGGCAUCAAGGAUUGCAGAAACUGAGGAAAUGGUUGAGUCCUACUUGCAAAAAAGGAGACACAAUAAUGAGAUACCCCCCUGCAGAUUCAAGGUUGGAAUGAUUGUGGAGGCAUUAGAGGAUGACGGCUUUUGGUAUAUAGCCAAAGUAUUGUCA